GCAGGGAAUAGUUUAAGAAGAAUUUCAGUUUU
rnacentral:tRNA from 1 species